GCAUUGGUGGUUCGGUGGUAGAAUUCUCACCUUCCAUGUGGAAGACCUAGGUUCAAUUCCCAACCAAUGUA
rnacentral:tRNA from 1 species